CGAACGGGUGAGUAAUGCGUGACCAACCUGCCCCAUGCUCCAGAAUAGCUCUUGGAAACGGGUGGUAAUGCUGGAUGCUCCAACUUGACGCAUGUCUUGUUGGGAAAGUGUUUAGUGGCAUGGGAUGGGGUCGCGUCCUAUCAGCUUGUAGGCGGGGUAAUGGCCCACCUAGGCUUCGACGGGUAGCCGGCCUGAGAGGGCGGACGGCCACAUUGGGACUGAGACACGGUCCAGACUCCUACGGAGCAGCAGCU
rnacentral:rRNA from 1 species